AUAUUGGCCAGAGACCGAUAGCGCACAAGUAGAGUGAUCGAAAGAUGAAAAGAACUUUGAAAAGAGAGUUAAAAAGUACGUGAAAUUGUUGAAAGGGAAGCGUUUAUGACCAGACUUGGACUUGGUUAAUCAUCUGGGGUUCUCCCCAGUGCACUUUUCCAGUUCAGGCCAGCAUCAGUUUUCGCCGGGGGAUAAAGGCUUCGGGAAUGUAGCUCUCUUCGGGGAGUGUUAUAGCCCGUUGUGUAAUACCCUGGCGGAGACUGAGGUUCGCGCUUCUGCAAGGAUGCUGGCGUAAUGGUCAUCAACGACCCGUCUUGAAACACGGACC
rnacentral:rRNA from 1 species